GGAUUCUCCUCUUUACCUUUCCUCUUUCUUUCUUUUGUUGUAGCUUCAUUUCACUACUCUCGAUCUCUCUCUUCUUUACUUCUCUUUUAUCUAUAUCUGUCUUUCUAUCUCUCUAUCUAAUUAAUGGCCUUUAAUUUCUUUCUCUCUGGCUCUACAGAUGUAUAGAACUGUUAAAUCCACCGACAAACCUCCAGCUUCCUCGGGCCAAUCAGAAGGCUCAGGCGAAGAAGAUUCUGCUCUUGGGAAUGGCAGUCUCAGCUUCUGUCGGUUAAUGGAGCACAAAGGAUCAGAUGGACCAAUCCAACUAAAUGACAUAGACUCGAAUACUAGAUGGAGCAACUCAUCUAGCACAGGAGCUUGGAUGCAAACCAAUUCAAGGGAAAUGGAGGGCCAUAGAGCAAUUUUCACGUCUCAGACAGAGGUACUUACGAGAGCAAUGACUUUGUGGAUAUCACAUGCACCGCACACAAAACACACGCACGCAGAUAGAGAGAUAUGGAUGGAUAUAUAUAUAUAUAUAGAGAGAGAGAGAGAGACUGUUAAGUUAUCAGGUUUUGACAUGAACUUGUACUUCAAUAUAAAAUCAUCUGCUUUACCAAAAAAAAAAA